GUGUGUUCGCAAUAUGGCGUCUAUUUCUCUGUUUUCAAAUCCUUGCUGCUCCUUGCUUAGGUCCUGUGGAGUCCCACUGUCAACUAAAAUAAUUUCCAAAAGUAGUUUUUCUUCAGUUUACUUCAUAAUCCUUCUUCUCCUUGGCAGCAUGAGCCAGUAGUGUUGCUAAACGUAGUCAGGAUUCCGGGCAAGUCUCUCAUGACGAAGGAAAUUUGUCUUAAAUUCUUAAUUUCUGAGAUAUGG